rnacentral:rRNA from 1 species
GACGUAGGGCGCGAGCGUUGUCCGGAUUUAUUGGGCGUAAAGAGCUCGUAGGCGGCUUGUUACGUCGUUCGUGAAAUCUCAGGGCUCAACUCUGAGCUUGCGGGCGAUACGGGCAGGCUAGAGUUCGGUAGGGGAGACUGGAAUUCCUGGUGUAGCGGUGAAAUGCGCAGAUAUCAGGAGGAACACCGGUGGCGAAGGCGGGUCUCUAGUACGGUACUGACGCUGAGACGCGAAAGCGUGGGGAGCGAACAGG